CGCUGCAAGAUAUUAAUUUAAAAAUUCGACAUUGACUAUGAAACGCAUGUAUUGUAUGGCGAAGAAACGUUGUGAUAUAUUCAAGAUCAGUAUGAGAAAAAAUCAAAGGCGAGUUAAUAUCAUGAAUAAUUUCUUUUACAGUUGUUUCUUUACAGGGCUUGUUUAGCAAAUUUUUGCGUCCUUAAUAUAAAUAUUUUUGUGCAGGGAUAAAAUAUGGACAUAUUUUAAUAUUUGUUGAUUUACAACUAUUAGGUAUUGAGUGGAUGUUGGUUAAAAGUUUCCAGGGAACUGAGGGAAUGAGAUGUUAAUGUAUUUGCCGAAGAUGCGAGGAAAGCUUCCAAAAUUUACGGAGUAAUAAAUUCUGGGAAAUGCAGACCAAAAUAAUCGAUGCAAAAUAUCAGUUGGUAUACCAAACAAACAAUGGAUGCAACACAUGGAAACAUUGAAGGGAACAUUAUUGUGG